rnacentral:ncRNA from 2 species
GAUGGUUCCCGGGGGAGCCUCUGAUCCGAGGCUGAGAGGGUAGCAGGAGCUACCGACCCUUUGAACCUGAUCUGGGUAAUGCCAGCGUAGGGAAGGGAUAAAAAAUUUAA